CCUACGGGUGGCUGCAGUGGGGAAUUUUGCACAAUGGGGGAAACCCUGAUGCAGCAACGCCGCGUGAGUGAUGAAGGCCUUUGGGUUGUAAAGCUCUUUCGGUUGGGAAGAAGGGUGGUAUGGCUAAUAUCUUUACCAUUUGACGGUACCAAAAGAAGAAGCACCUGCUAACUUCGUGCCAGCAGCAGCGGUAAUACGAAGGGUGCGAGCGUUGUUCGGAAUUACUGGGCGUAAAGGGCGCGUAGGCUGGUUUGUAAGUCUAAUGUGAAAUCCCC
rnacentral:rRNA from 1 species